rnacentral:rRNA from 1 species
GCUAUCAAUAAGCGGAGGAAAGAAACACAGGGAUUGCCUCAGUAACGGCGAGUGAAGCGGCAACAGCUCAAAUUUGAAAUCUGGCUCUUUCAGAGUCCGAGUUGUAAUUUGUAGAGGAUGCUUCGGAAUGGUCCCAGUCUAAGUUCCUUGGAACAGGACGUCGCAGAGGGUGAGAAUCCCGUAUGUGACUGGGUAACCGGCCCAUGUGAAGCUCCUUUCGACGAGUCGAGUUGUUUGGGAAUGCAGCUCUAAAUGGGUGGUAAAUUUCAUCUAAAGCUAAAUAUUGGCCAGAGACCGAUAGCGCACAAGUAGAGUGAUCGAAAGAUGAAAAGCACUUUGGAAAGAGAGUUAAAAAGUACGUGAAAUUGUUGAAAGGGAAGCGUUUGCAACCAGACUUGCCUGCAGUUGAUCAGCUGGUGUUCUCACCGGUGCACUCUUCUGCAGACAGGCCAGCAUCAGUUUGGGUGGUUGGAUAAAGGCUGGAGGAAUGUAGCUCCUCUCGGGGAGAACUUAUAGCCUCCAGCGUCAUGCAGCCUGCCCGGACUGAGGACCGCGCUUUUUGCUAGGAUGCUGGCGUAAUGGUUGUAAACGACCCGUCUUGAAACACGGACCAAGGAGUCUAACAUCUAUGCGAGUGUUUGGGUGUCAAACCCGUACGCGUAAUGAAAGUGAACGGAGGUGGGAAGCGCAAGCUGCACCAUCGACCGAUCCUGAUGUCUUCGGAUGGAUUUGAGUAUGAGCAUAGCUGUUGGGACCCGAAAGAUGGUGAACUAUGCCUGAAUAGGGUGAAGCCAGAGGAAACUCUGGUGGAGGCUCGCAGCGGUUCUGACGUGCAAAUCGAUCGUCAAAUUUGGGUAUAGGGGCGAAAGACUAAUCGAACCAUUGACACCGAUACUAGGUGGUUAAUUGAAAGGGUGCGCAUCUCGAUGCCACCUUUCCAGCUCAACUCGUUUGGGCAACACUGCUAACUGCAUGGACGUCCCUUAACUGGAACAACAUGCCGCGGUCCUGCACAAGGAUCGCUCACAGACCAAAUGGCAGUGGCUGGACGGAGACGUCUAGUUAAGAAAUGGCCGGUCCCCCUCGAGAACGAGGAGAGCAACG